GUCUGGAGCUGGCAUGUCAGUUAACUGCUAGUAGUCUGUUGUUAUUUAUGUAUUAUUGUCAUUUUAUUUAUUUUCUUUUGUUACAUCUUUUAACAUCAGACUCGGACUUCUCUUGAACUGAAUUUUAAUGUGCGUAUUGUUAUUCUUUUACUUUUCUACAUUGGCUAGAGGUAUAGGGGGAGGGUUGAGAUCUCAUAAACAUGU
rnacentral:lncRNA from 1 species